AGUGAACGCUGGCGGUAGGCCUAACACAUGCAAGUCGAACGGCAGCACAGUAAGAGCUUGCUCUUACGGGUGGCGAGUGGCGGACGGGUGAGGAAUACAUCGGAAUCUACUUUUUCGUGGGGGAUAACGUAGGGAAACUUACGCUAAUACCGCAUACGACCUACGGGUGAAAGCAGGGGAUCUUCGGACCUUGCGCGAUUGAAUGAGCCGAUGUCGGAUUAGCUAGUUGGCGGGGUAAAGGCCCACCAAGGCGACGAUCCGUAGCUGGUCUGAGAGGAUGAUCGGCCACACUGGAACUGAGACAAGGUCCAGACUCCUACGGGAGGCAGCAGUGGGGAAUAUUGGACAAUGGGCGCAAGCCUGAUCCAGCCAUACCGCGUGGGUGAAGAAGGCCUUCGGGUUGUAAAGCCCUUUUGUUGGGAAAGAAAAGCAGCAGGUUAAUACCCCGCUGUUCUGACGGUACCCAAAGAAUAAGCACCGGCUAACUUCGUG
rnacentral:rRNA from 1 species